rfam:Dipodomys ordii contig_55868, whole genome shotgun sequence.
AAAGUGUCCUACGCCACGGCCAUGGAUUGGUUCAUCGCCGUGUGCUUUGCGUUU